AGCUGAAGCGGACAGGAGAACGAUUCGAUGAACCGGCGACCACGAGGACCAUCACGUGUGGUACACCUACCGUGGCGGCCUAGAAAAGGACAUCGCCCCCUUUGGACUGUCGCACAUGCACUCGGCAGCCGCAGCGGAGCUGAGAGCUGAUCGGCAGCAAAAUAUGUUUUUCACGGACGUUACAGGUAGGAACUGUGGCCUGAAACCAGCGGCUAUGACGACGAACGCUCGACCGGACAGGAGAACGAUUAGGUCAACCGGCGACCACGUGGACCAUCACGUGUGUUACACCUAGAGUGGCGGCCUAGAAAAGGACAUCGCCACCUUUGGACUGUCGCCCAUGCAAUCGGCAGCCGCAGCGUAGCUGAGAGUUGAUCGGCAGCAAAAUGUUUUUCACGGAAGUUACAGGUAGGAACUGUGGCCUCAAACCAGCGCCUAUAACGACGAACGCUCGAGCGGACAAGAGAACGAUUAGAUCAACUGGCGACCAUGUGGACCAUCACAUGUGGUGCACCUACCGUGGCGGCCUAUAAAAGGACAUCGCCCAUUUGGACUGUCGCACACGCACUCGGCAGCCGCUGCCGAGCUGACAGUUGAACGGCAGCAAAAUAUGUUUUUCACGGACGUUACAGGUUGGAACUGUGGCCUCAAACCAGCGCCUAUGACGACGAAUGCUCGGGCGGACAGGAGAAUGAUUAGAUCAACUGGCGACCAUGUGGACCAUCACAUGUGGUGCACCUACCGUGGCGGCCUAUAA
rnacentral:lncRNA from 1 species